rnacentral:rRNA from 1 species
GUCCAGCCGCCGCGGUCAUACCGGCAGCACGAGUGAUGGCCGCUAUUAUUGGGCCUAAAGCGUCCGUAGCCGGCCGGGCAAGUCCGUCGGGAAAUCCACCCGCUUAACGGGUGGGCGUCCGGCGGAAACUGCUCGGCUUGGGACCGGAGGACCCGAGGGGUACGUCCGGGGUAGGAGUGAAAUCCCGUAAUCCCGGACGGACCGCCGGUGGCGAAAGCGCCUCGGGAGGACGGAUCCGACGGUGAGGGACGAAAGCGAGGGUCUCGAACCGGAUUAGAUACCUGGGUAGUCC